CUUGGUCAUGUGAUGAUUUGAAGAAGCAUAGUUCAGAUGAUAAUCUGUGAUUAAUCAGAAUCUUUAGUCUUUCGCUCCUAUCUGAUGACCAAC
rfam:Punica granatum cultivar Dabenzi scaffold289, whole genome shotgun sequence.